GAAAUGCGAUACGUAAUGUGAAUUGCAGAAUCUCGUGAAUCAUUGAAUCUUUGAACGCACAUUGCGCCUUAUGGUAUUCCAUAAGGCAUGCCUGUCUGAGCGUCAGCUCCCCCCCACUCAAGCUCUUCUUGCUUGGAAUAUUUUGGAUAAGCAGCUUUGACCGGUUGCUGUUCACAAAUGCAUAGGCAGUAUGGUCGUUAAUCAAGCUGAGCGUCAGCUCCCCCCCACUCAAGCUCUUCUUGCUUGGAAUAUUUUGGAUAAGCAGCUUUGACCGGUUGCUGUUCACAAAUGCAUAGGCAGUAUGGUAGUUAAUCAAGCUGAGCGUAAUAAUUAAAAAAGUCACGUUCAAUAUUGGACUUAUUGUACUCGCCUCUUAACCCACAACUUUACAUUAUGGGUGACCUCAGAUCAGGUAGGGAUACCCGCUGAACUUAA
rnacentral:misc_RNA from 1 species